UGGGGUGUAGAUUGGCCUGAGCAAAUGUGGUGCCGGUGGAACGAAAGCCUUCGGAGGAGUUAGCGAAAUUCCAAUGUGUGCGGAUCGGCAAAAAAUGCGAAAUAACCCUUUAACCGUACAUUUGACAGAUACGCCCGCACUGACUUUUUUGUAGAUCUUAUUGAGAUACAUGUGUGUGUCAAUUUUUGUGUCAUUUUGACAAAGCGUACCGGCGUGACAGUGAAUAGUGUGAAUUUUCACCUUAGGGGGCGCUAUGGAGCCAUUUUGCAUUUUCUUGUUUGGGCGACUUCGGAAUAUCAAAUUUUUCACCAGGCCCGGUCGUCCUGCCAAAUUUCAUGAGUUUUCGCCAGUGGGAAGUGGGCCAUUUUCCAGUUCAAAGGGGAGGAAAAAUAAUAAUAAUAAUAAUAACACUAGGGCCCCGGUGGGGCACUGUCGGGCCCGAGCCGCGUCGCGCCGCCCCCAGCGCGACCGCCUCCCCCUCCCGAUCGCGUCACACUCAAGGUCCAAAGAUGGUGUGCGCACUUGUCUGUGGUCAUUUCCCAUUAUAAUGAAUGGGAGGCGCAGUUUCUACCAAAACGCUCGCUGCAGACAAACUACAUGUCCUAUUUGAAAAAAGUCUGGACCAUGAGUGAGGGCACAAACACAGCUAGUAUAUAUCCAAAUGGCAAGUUGCUCCUCCUUUCGGUUUUGCAGAGAGAGCGAUGCGUUUGAGCCAUUGAGCGAUGGGCAGGAAAAACUUGACUUUUUCUCCUGCCAUGGGGGGGCGCUCUUUUGGGGAGAAAAAAUUCCUUCACAAAUGUGUUGAUGGCUGGACAUUGCAUCAUCCUAGAAAACUUGGAGGCCAGUGAGGACAAAAAUAAAAAGUUAUAAGACUUUUAAAAAUGUGGAUAUUUGGGUCCUCUUUGGCGCCCCCUAGAACGUAAACUGUGGGGUGCAGCGUCAUGAUUUGUACAACUUUGAAUGGCCAUGGGGUGUAGAUUGACCUGAGCAAAUUUGAAGCCGAUGGGACAAAAGAUUUAGGAGGAGUUAGCGAAAUUCCAAUGUGUGCGGAUCGGCAAAAAAUGCGAAAUAACCCUUUAACCGUACAUUUGACAGAUACGCCCGCACUGACUUUUUUGUAGAUCUUAUUGAGAUACAUGUGUGUGUCAAAUUUUGUGUCAUUUUGACAAAGCGUAAAGACGUGACAGUCAACAAUGUGUAUUUUCGCCUUAGGAGACAAGAAAAAAUGGACUUUUUUCUCCUGCCAUGGGGGGCGCUCUUUUGGCGAGUAAAAAUUCCUUCACAAAUGUGUUGAUGGCUGGACAUUGCAUCAUCCUAGAGAACUUGGAGGCCAGUGAGGACAAAAAUAAAAAGUUAUAAGACUUUUAAGACUGUGGAUUUUUGGGUUAUCUUUGGCGCCCCCUAGAACGUAAACCGUGGGGUGCAGCGUCAUGAUUUGUACAACUUUUAAUGGCCAUGGGGUGUAGAUUGGCCUCAGAGAAUGUGGUGCCUUUGGAACGAAAGCCUUCGGAGGAGUUAGCGAAAUUCCAAUGUGUGCGGAUCGGCAAAAAAUGCGAAAUAGCCCUUUCACCGUACAUUUGACAGAUACGCCCGCACUGACUUUUUUGUAGAUCUUAUUGAGAUACAUGUGUGUGUCAAUUUUUGUGUCAAUAUGACAAAGCGUAAAGGCGUGACAGUCAAUAGUGUGAAUUUUCGCCUUAGGAGACAAGAAAAAAUGGACUUUUUUCUCCUGCCAUGGGGGGGCGCUCUUUUGGGGAGUAAAAAUUCCUUCACAAAUGUGUUGAUGGCUGGACAUUGCAUCAUCCUAGAAAACUUGGAGGCCAGUGAGGACAAAAAUAAAAAGUUAUACGACUUUUAAGAAUGUGGAUUUCUGGGUUAUCUUUGGCGCCCCCUAGAACGUAAACCGUGGGAUGCAGCGUCAUGAUUUGUACAACUUUUAAUGGCCAUGGGGUGUAGAUUGGCCUGAGCAAAUUUGGUGCCGGUGGAACGAAAGCCUUCGGAGGAGUUAGCGAAAUUCCAAUGUGUGCGGAUCGGCAAAAAAUGCGAAAUAGCCCUUUAACCGUACAUUUGACAGAUACGCCCGCACUGACUUUUUUGUAGAUCUUAUUGAGAUACACGUGUGUGUCAAAUUUUGUGUCAUUUUGACAAAGCGUACAGGCGUGACACUCAAUCAUGUGAAUUUUUCACCUUAGGGGGCGCUAUGGAGCCAUUUUGCAUUUGAUUUUUGGGCGACUUCAGAAUAUCGAAUUUUUCACCAGGCCCGGUCGUCCUGCCAAAUUUCAUGACUUUUCACCAGUGGGAAGUGGGCCAUUUUCCAGUUCAAAGGGGCAGAAAAAUAAUAAGAAAAAGAAGAAGAAGAACUAGGGCCCCGGUGGGGCACUGUCGGGCCCGAGCCGCGUCGCGCCGCCCCCAGCGCGACCGCCUCCCCCUCCCGAUCGCGUCACACUCAAGGUCCAAAGAUGGUGUGCGCACUUGUCUGUGGUCAUUUCCCAUUAUAAUGAAUGGGAGGCGCAGUUUCUACCAAAACACUCGCUGCAGACAAACUUCAUGUCCUAUUUGAAAAAAGUCUGGACCAUGAGUGAGGGCACAAACACAGCUAUGAUAUAUCGAAAUGGCAGGUUGCUCCUCCUUACGGUGUUGCCUGGAGAGCGAUGCGAUUGAGCCAUUGAGCGAUGGGCAGGGUUAACUUGACUUUUUCUCCUGCCUUGGGGGGGGGGGGGGGAUGUGGAUUCCUUUAAGAAUGUGGAUUUUUCGGUCAUCUUUGGCGCCCCCUAGAACGUAAACCAUGGGGUGCAGCGUCAUGAUUUUUACAACUUUGAAUGGCCAUGGGGUGUAGAUUGGCCUGAGCAAAUUUGGUGUCAGUGGGACGAAAGCCUUAGGAGGAGUUAGCCACAUUCCAAUGUGUGCGAAUCGGCAAAAAAUGCAAAAUAGCCUCACACUCAAGGUCCAAAGAUGGUGUGCGCACUUGUCUGUGGUCAUUUCCCAUUAUAAUGAAUGGGAGGCGCAGUUUCUACCAAAACGCUCGCUGCAGACAAACUACAUGUCCUAUUUGAAAAAAGUCUGGACCAUGAGUGAGGGCACAAACACAGCUAGUAUAUAUCCAAAUGGCAAGUUGCUCCUCCUUUCGGUUUUGCAGAGAGAGCGAUGCGUUUGAGCCAUUGAGCGAUGGGCAGGAAAAACUUGACUUUUUCUCCUGCCAUGGGGGGGCGCUCUUUUGGGGAGAAAAAAUUCCUUCACAAAUGUGUUGAUGGCUGGACAUUGCAUCAUCCUAGAAAACUUGGAGGCCAGUGAGGACAAAAAUAAAAAGUUAUAAGACUUUUAAAAAUGUGGAUAUUUGGGUCCUCUUUGGCGCCCCCUAGAACGUAAACUGUGGGGUGCAGCGUCAUGAUUUGUACAACUUUGAAUGGCCAUGGGGUGUAGAUUGACCUGAGCAAAUUUGAAGCCGAUGGGACAAAAGAUUUAGGAGGAGUUAGCGAAAUUCCAAUGUGUGCGGAUCGGCAAAAAAUGCGAAAUAACCCUUUAACCGUACAUUUGACAGAUACGCCCGCACUGACUUUUUUGUAGAUCUUAUUGAGAUACAUGUGUGUGUCAAAUUUUGUGUCAUUUUGACAAAGCGUAAAGGCGUGACAGUCAACAAUGUGUAUUUUCGCCUUAGGAGACAAGAAAAAAUGGACUUUUUUCUCCUGCCAUGGGGGGGCGCUCUUUUGGGGAGUAAAAAUUCCUUCACAAAUGUGUUGAUGGCUGGACAUUGCAUCAUCCUAGAAAACUUGGAGGCCAGUGAGGACAAAAAUAAAAAGUUAUAAGACUUUUAAAAAUGUGGAUAUUUGGGUCCUCUUUGGCGCCCCCUAGAACGUAAACCGUGGGGUGCAGCGUCAUGAUUUGUACAACUUUUAAUGGCCAUGGGGUGUAGAUUGGCCUCAGCAAAUGUGGUGCCUUUGGAACGAAAGCCUUCGGAGGAGUUAGCGAAAUUCCAAUGUGUGCGGAUCGGCAAAAAAUGCGAAAUAACCCUUUCACCGUACAUUUGACAGAUACGCCCGCACUGACUUUUUUGUAGAUCUUAUUGAGAUACAUGUGUGUGUCAAUUUUUGUGUCAAUAUGACAAAGCGUAAAGGCGUGACAGUCAAUAGUGUGAAUUUUCGCCUUAGGAGACAAGAAAAAAUUGACUUUUUUCUCCUGCCAUGGGGGGGCGCUCUUUUGGGGAGUAAAAAUUCCUUCACAAAUGUGUUGAUGGCUGGACAUUGCAUCAUCCUAGAAAACUUGGAGGCCAGUGAGGACAAAAAUAAAAAGUUAUACGACUUUUAAGAAUGUGGAUUUCUGGGUUAUCUUUGGCGCCCCCUAGAACGUAAACCGUGGGAUGCAGCGUCAUGAUUUGUACAACUUUUAAUGGCCAUGGGGUGUAGAUUGGCCUGAGCAAAUUUGGUGCCGGUGGAACGAAAGCCUUCGGAGGAGUUAGCGAAAUUCCAAUGUGUGCGGAUCGGCAAAAAAUGCGAAAUAGCCCUUUAACCGUACAUUUGACAGAUACGCCCGCACUGACUUUUUUGUAGAUCUUAUUGAGAUACACGUGUGUGUCAAAUUUUGUGUCAUUUUGACAAAGCGUACAGGCGUGACACUCAAUCAUGUGAAUUUUUCACCUUAGGGGGCGCUAUGGAGCCAUUUUGCAUUUGAUUUUUUGGGCGACUUCAGAAUAUCGAAUUUUUCACCAGGCCCGGUCGUCCUGCCAAAUUUCAUGACUUUUCACCAGUGGGAAGUGGGCCAUUUUCCAGUUCAAAGGGGCAGAAAAAUAAUAAGAAGAAGAAGAAGAAACUAGGGCCCCGGUGGGGCACUGUCGGGCCCGAGCCGCGUCGCGCCGCCCCUAGCGCGACCGCCUCCCCCUCCCGAUCGCGUCACACUCAAGGUCCAAAGAUGGUGUGCGCACUUGUCUGUGGUCAUUUCCCAUUAUAAUGAAUGGGAGGCGCAGUUUCUACCAAAACACUCGCUGCAGACAAACUACAUGUCCUAUUUGAAAAAAGUCUGGACCAUGAGUGAGGGCACAAACACAGCUAGGAUUUAUCCAAACGGCAAGUUGCUCCUUGUUACGGUGUUGCCGGGAGAGCGAUGCGAUUGAGCCAUUGAGUGAUGGGCAGGAAAAACUUGACUGUUUCUCCUGCCAUGGGGGGUGGGGGAUGGGGGGGAUGUGGAUUCUUUUAAGAAUGUGGAUAUUUGGGUCAUCUUUGGCGCCCCCUAGAACGUAAACCGUGGGGUGCAGCGUCAUGAUUUUUACAACUUUGAAUGGCCAUGGGGUGUAGAUUGGCCUGAGCAAAUUUGGUGUCAGUGGGACGAAAGCCUUAGGAGGAGUUAGCCACAUUCCAAUGUGUGCGAAUCGGCAAAAAAUGCAAAAUAGCCCUUUAACCGUACAUUUGACAGAUACGCGCGCAUUGACUUUUUUGUAGAUCUUAUUGAGAUACAUAUGUGUGUCAAUUUUUGUGUCAUUUUGCCAAAGCGUACAGGUGUUACACUCAACAAUGUGUAUUUUCACCUUAGGGGACAAGAAAAAAUGGACUUUUUUCUCCUGCCAUGGGGGGGCGCUCUUUUGGGGAGUAAAAAUUCCUUCACAAAUGUGUUGAUGGCUGGACAUUGCAUCAUCCUAGAAAACUUGGAGGCCAGUGAGGGCAAAAAUAAAAAGUUAUAAGACUUUUAAAUAUGUGGAUCUUAGGGUUAUCUUUGGCGCCCCCUAGAACCUAAACCGUGGGGUGCAGCGUCAUGAUUUGAAUAACUUUUAAUGGCCAUGGGGUGUAGAUUGGCCUGAGCAAAUGUGGUGCCGGUGGAACGAAAGCCUUCGGAGGAGUUAGCGAAAUUCCAAUGUGUGCGGAUCGGCAAAAAAUGCGAAAUAACCCUUUAACCGUACAUUUGACAGAUACGCCCGCACUGACUUUUUUGUAGAUCUUAUUGAGAUACAUGUGUGUGUCAAUUUUUGUGUCAUUUUGACAAAGCGUACAGGCGUGACAGUGAAUAGUGUGAAUUUUCACCUUAGGGGGCGCUAUGGAGCCAUUUUGCAUUUUCUUGUUUGGGCGACUUCGGAAUAUCAAAUUUUUCACCAGGCCCGGUCGUCCUGCCAAAUUUCAUGAGUUUUCGCCAGUGGGAAGUGGGCCAUUUUCCAGUUCAAAGGGGAGGAAAAAUAAUAAUAAUAAUAAUAAUAACAAAAGAAGGAAACUACAGGAACAAGAGGGCUCUCGCAGCUGCUUAGCAGCUACGCUCGGGCCCUAAAAAGAAGGAAACUACAGGAACAAGAGGGCUCUCGCAGCUGCUUAGCAGCUACGCUCGGGCCCUAAUAACAAAAGAAGGAAACUACAGGAACAAGAGGGCUCUCGCAGCUGCUUAGCAGCUACGCUCGGGCCCUAAGAAGAAUCCAUCAGGAAUAAUAGGGCUCUCGCAGCUGCUUAGCAGCUACGCUCGGGCCCUAAGAAAGAAAGAACUAGGACCCCGUUGGGGCACUGUCGGGCCCGAGCCGUGUCGCGCCGCCCCCAGUGCGACCGCCUCCCCCUCCCGAUCGCGUCACACUCAAGAUCCAAAGAUGGUGUGCGCACUUGUCUGUGGUCAUUUCCUAUUAUAAUGAAUGGGAGGCGCAGUUUCUACCAAAACACUCGCUGCAGACAAACUUCAUGUCCUAUUUGAAAAAAGUCUGGACCAUGAGUGAGGGCACAAACACAGCUAUGAUAUAUCGAAAUGGCAGGUUGCUCCUC